rnacentral:hammerhead_ribozyme from 1 species
AUCCAGCUGACGAGCCCCGAAUAUGGACGAAACGCACGUCCUGGAU